ensembl:lncRNA
UUAUUUCUUAAUUAUUUUGCUGUUUCUAUGUGGUUUCUGAGUGUUAUUAGCAUGUUGCACUGCAUUAGAUGUUAUUUGGGUGGUUUCUAGGGUGUUGCUAAGGUGUUCUGAGUGUUUUUAGCAUGUCGCACUGCAGUUGAUGUUAUUUGGGUGGUUUCUAGGGCGUUGCCAAGGUGUUCUGAUUGUUUUUAGCAUGUCGCACUGCAGUAGAUGUUAUUUGGGUGGUUUCUAGGGUGUUGCCAAGGUGUUCUGAGUGUUUUUAGCAUGUCGCACUGCAGUAGAUGUUAUUUGGGUGGUUUCUAGGGCGUUGCCAAGGUGUUCUAAUUGUUUUUAGCAUGUCGCACUGCAGUUGAUGUUAUUUGGGUGGUUUCUAGGGCGUUGCCAAGGUGUUCUAAUUGUUUUUAGCAUGUCGCACUGCAGUAGAUGUUAUUUGGGUGGUUUCUAGGGCGUUGCCAAGGUGUUCUAAUUGUUUUUAGCAUGUCGCACUGCAGUAGAUGUUAUUUGGGUGGUUUCUAGGGCGUUGCCAAGGUGUUCUAAUUGUCUUUAGCAUGUCGCACUGCAGUAGAUGUUAUUUGGGUGGUUUCUAGUGCGUUGCCAAGGUGUUCCGAGUGUUUAUAGCAUGUUGCACCGCAGUAGGUGUUUUGGGUGGUUUCUAUGGCGUUGCUAUGUGAUUAAUUUCCUAUCUGUUAGGAUGCUCUUUUACCAGGUGGCUGACUAUGUUGGUAGUGUACUGCGAGGCAGGUAUUGGAACAAAGCGGUCUUGUUUUGUCUUUGUAGUGAUCACACAGGGUACUUUAUCUGUGUGGUGAAACCAGACUGAUCUCUGAAACACAAUGGCACUGUUUUAUCCUGUUCU